rnacentral:rRNA from 1 species
CGUUGAUUACGUCCCUGCCCUUUGUACACACCGCCCGUCGCUACUACCGAUUGAAUGGCUCAGUGAGGCGUCCGGACUGGCCCAGAGAGGUGGGCAACUACCACUCAGGGCCGGAAAGCUCUCCAAACUCGGUCAUUUAGAGGAAGUAAAAGUCGUAACAAGG